rnacentral:tRNA from 1 species
GGCAAAGUAGCCAAGCGGUCUAAGGCGCCAGGUUCAGGACCACCUGAAUUUCUAUCCUGGUCUCAGAAAUGGGGCGCGAGUUCGAAUCUCGUCUUUGUCA